GAUGAACGCUGGCGGCGUGCCUAACACAUGCAAGUCGAACGGGAUGCGUAUCGGAAAGCUUCGGCCGGAAGAUACGUUAUCUAGUGGCGGACGGGUGAGUAACACGUGGGUAACCUGCCUUAUGGAGGGGGAUAACAGAGAGAAAUCACUGCUAAUACCGCAUAAGCACACAGUACCGCAUGGUACAGGGUGAAAAGAUUUAUCACCAUAAGAUGGACCCGCGUCUGAUUAGCCAGUUGGCAGGGUAAAAGCCUACCAAAGCAACGAUCAGUAGCCGAUCUGAGAGGAUGACCGGCCACAUUGGGACUGAGACACGGCCCAAACUCCUACGGGAGGCAGCAGUGGGGAAUAUUGCACAAUGGGGGAAACCCUGAUGCAGCGACGCCGCGUGAGUGAAGAAGUAUUUCGGUAUGUAAAGCUCUAUCAGCAGGGAAGAUAAUGACAGUACCUGACUAAGAAGCCCCGGCUAACUACGUGCCAGCAGCCGCGGUAAUACGUAGGGGGCAAGCGUUAUCCGGAUUUACUGGGUGUAAAGGGAGCGUAGACGGAGUGGCAAGUCUGAAGUGAAAACCCUGGGCUUAACCUAGGGACUGCUUUGGAAACUGUUAAUCUAGAGUGUUGGAGAGGUAAGUGGAAUUCCUGGUGUAGCGGUGAAAUGCGUAGAUAUCAGGAAGAACACCGGAGGCGAAGGCGGCUUACUGGACAAUAACUGACGUUGAGGCUCGAAAGCGUGGGGAUCAAACAGG
rnacentral:rRNA from 1 species